CCAAAAAAGAGAGAUUCUAACUCCCACCCCUAACUCCCAAAGCCAGAA
rnacentral:tRNA from 1 species